rnacentral:rRNA from 1 species
ACGGAGGGUGCAAGCGUUAAUCGGAAUUACUGGGCGUAAAGCGCACGUAGGCGGUUCGAUAAGUCAGAUGUGAAAGCCCCGGGCUCAACCUCGGAACUGCCUUUGAAACUGUCGGACUUGAGUCUUGUAGAGGGGGGUAGAAUUCCAGGUGUAGCGGUGAAAUGCGUAGAGAUCUGGAGGAAUACCGGUGGCGAAGGCGGCCCCCUGGACAAAGACUGACGCUCAGGUGCGAAAGCGUGGGGAGCAAACAG